rnacentral:lncRNA from 1 species
AAAAGGAAAAAAUAAUUAAAAAUCUAAAAUAUACUCAUAAUAUAAGAGUGCAUACUUAGGCUUCGUUUGGAAUUGCGAGAAAAUUACGUUACGUGCAGUGAAAAAUUACGAUAGAAAAAUAUCAUAUUUGUUUCCGUACGUAAUAUUGCGUUUCACAUAUUACGAGAGUCGGUUAUAACAUAUUUUCUGCAGUCCCACCGAAGAACGCAAAAACAUAUUGCUAUAUAUUUUUUUCAUUCAGAUAGAUCUCAAUACCAAUUACAAGAGUCCGUCGGUGCCUUUGAAUGGGGUGCAAUGUACAGCUAAUAUGCAAAAAGUUGUACCAAAG